UGUUAGGUAUCAUAAAUUAGGUUAAGUUGGAAAAUGAAAUCUCCUUUUGAAAAGUCAAAGGUUAGAAAACUGAUUCCUAAACUCGAUUUUAUUUUUUCCGCUGAUAUUUACUGUCUUCAAAAGGUUUCAAAAAUGAAAAUCUUCAACAAUCCAUGGUAUGGCCACCUAAAAAGAAGCUUUAUUGGCUUACAGUUGGCUCGUGAAGAUUGCAUUAGGUUUCUAUCUAACACAAGAUUACACUUACAUAAUCACGCAGCUAUAGUCCAAAAACGGACUCCAAGAGUCCGUUAGAGUUUUUUCGUCGCUGUUUUGUUGCUAAUACUACUACACUAAAUCUGUUAAAUCCAAGUUUUAAGAAGGCUAGUUUGAAAAAAUAUGACAAGUAUUAGUUCCAGUUUCUUUUCGAAAGAAAAACGGUUCUCAGUUCCAGUUUCAAGCACUAGCCAAAGGUCUUGUAUGUAGUUCAACGGAAUUUGAAUGAGGAGAUUGCAACAAUAAAGCAAGUGCAAAUAUAACAAGAUUUGAAACCACAAAUACAUUAAAGGUUGUGAAAAGCAAGCACAACUUUCAUCCCUAAGCUUCAUUUUCUAGGAUAAAUGAACACAUAAAAAAAAUGGAAUGUUUUGUUCAGAAUACCUGAAAGCUUCAAGUUUCCUCAGUUGCCAAGAGAGAAACGAAAAAUGAAAUGCCACUCUGAAGCGUGAAGAAAGGAACGCGUAAGGAGUAUGUUUUGGUUUUUUUGGAACGUUACUAUAUAGUGAAACACCAAUCGCUAGAGUUGUCCUCGCAUGAUAGAGAAGGUUCCAGGACAACUCGACCCAACGGACAAAUCGACCCGGGAUAACUCGACCCAGCGGACAACUCAACCUAGUGGACAACUCAACCCAUUACAGAUAUUAGGCCCAACAUGUUGGCUUACAAAUAGUUCAUGCUUAUGGGGCAAAAUUGGAACUGUAAUGUAAAACAUGUCAAAUUUUGAAAGGACUUACACAAUUCAUCAUUUGAUCUUUAAGAGCAAGUUAUGUUUACAUUGAUCAAGGUGUGAAAAUCAAGUUUGAUAAUGUUGUAAUCAAACUUGAUUUUUUAUUUAAUGCCUUACUGAUGCUAACAUCUUUGCAUGCACAUCGAAUGUUGACUCAUCAAGCUUUAGUUUUGUUCCAUAAUCAUGUUUUUUUGGCCAAUGUGUUGUUUAGUUAUUGCGCUGGGUCGAGUUGUCCGCUGGGUCGAGUUGUCCGCUGGGUCGAGUUGUCCGGUCACCGAUAGUGAACGAUGGUCCCUCGAGAACGAUCAGAGGCAAUUGCGCAAGUAGACAUCCUUUCGCACUAUAAAUUCGGCACGCCUAAGUGCAAGAAAUACCAAUCCAGAAGAGUCGAUUAUUUCAUUCAGGAUGCCCGGAACCCCUGUCAGUUGUAGAAAGAAUUUGUAAAUGCACAUAUGGACACUCUCACCCAUGUUAUUUCGCCACCAGUCAAUUCGGAGUUGUUAUCCUAGUUCGUCACAAAUUGGCGCAAUCGGUAGGAUACCGACUCAGCCUUUCCCAAGAUCAAUGGUCCGUGGAAAACUUGAAUUGAUCCAGCUAGCGUGCAUCACCGUGCAAAAGCCCCCUAACACCGGACCCAGAGCACAGAGUAAGCUGCAUCAACAGAUGGCGCGCAACGAGUACCAAAGGAGGCAUCAAGGACAUUAAAAAAAGACAUUAGUACCUUUCACACUCAACUUCACCAGUUAUGGGACGACGCAUACUUAGAAGAAGAUGAACCAUGGAGGUCCAAUUUACAAAUGCCAGAGCCUUACUCAGGAGCACGAGCCGAUCCCACAGGGUACCGAUCAGUUAAGCGUAUUAAUCAAUUUCUUGCAGGUAUCUUGGACGACGAAGCCCGUAAGCGAUGGGCGUGUCAUCACCACGUCCCCCGACGCUUUCACGCAAGCCUUGGAGUUCUAUGCUAAUAUUGAACAAAUUCGCAUGGAGAAGAGACGAACAAUGACUGCUCAUGGUCAACACUUUGAAUGUAAUGGAAUUGCAGUUCCUUUUUCGAAAAAAGGAAUGAAUUGGUAUAUUUAUUUAUUUUAACUCAUAAUUUCGUUACUACUGCCGUGCUAAUCGUGCAAUCCUAGGUGAUCUUCGGUGCCAUUUUGUAGAAAAUAUAGACAAUUCUUCAUUUAUCAGCAACUCUUAGACGACCCGAUGGUAUUGUUUCACAGGAGUCUAUUCUUUUUCGCAAAGAGUCUCAAUAAAACAUUGUCAAAAAUACAAACAAUAUCUCCAAGCGCGGUCAAUUGGAUUGGUAGAAUGCUUGAUCUUCUUGGCUCAAGAUGAUUAAUGUUCAAGUUCUAUGUAUGGCAUCCACCCACUUGAGAGAGGGAUCAAGAGAUCGAGAGAGAAUAGCAGCAGACAGAGCUUGAUGAAUCGGAAUAUCGUUGGUUCGAUCGUCUUUCGUCAAUUUCUUUCAACCGGAUCGUGCUCUUGGAUUUUGAAUAGCCAUACGGGAAGACAGCUGAACACGAUGGUGACGGCACAAGAUCAUGCAUGGCCAAUAAUACGUAAUACAUACGACCUGGACGUUGGACACACACAUGACACACGAUCGGUCGGAAUCUUACAUUAGAUUGGAUUGUACGAGAUUGGCGAGUGUGAAUGUAAAAGAUUUCCAGUCUAUUGUUAUACGCAUGGGGAUGGUGUUCAAGGUAGGGAGGGGGAGCUCAUCAGAGGUCGGAUCCUGAUUAAUUUUGCAGGGGAUGAUGCAUGUGCGAUUUUUGCAUAAUAUUUUUUACCGUCAAUGACAAGAGGAAUUGAAAGGAUUGUGUGCAACAUUGAAAAAUAUUUUUGGGUGCGUCCAUUCUUUGAAAAUCACCGCUUCU